CCCUUAGAUGUCCGGGGCUGCACGCGCGCUACACUGAAGGAAUCAGCGUGCUAAAACCAUUGUCGAAAGGCAUUGGUAAACCCAUUAAAAUCCUACGUGAUUGGGAUCGGGAAUUGCAAUUAUUUCCCUUGAACGAGGAAUUCCCAGUAAGUGUGGGUCAUAAGCUCGCGUUGAUUACGUCCCUGCCCUUUGUACACACCGCCCGUCGCUGCCCGGGACUGAGCCGUUUCGAGAAAAGCGGGGACUGCUACUGUCGGGGCUUUCGGGCCUUGGCUUCGGUGGAAACCGCUUUAAUCGCAGUGGCUUGAACCGGGCAAAANUCGUAACA
rnacentral:rRNA from 1 species